CCUUGUACACACCGCCCGUCAUGCCAUGGAAGUCGGGAGUGCCCGAAGUCCGUGACCCAACCUGCGAAGGGGGAGCGGCCGAAGGCAAGCUCGGUAACUGGGGCG
rnacentral:rRNA from 1 species